AUCCUUUUGUCAUUCAUAAGCAUGACGAUUGGGCUUUCAUGCUCAUGCAUGAGAUGGGCCUCCCUUCGGUCUUGUUACAGGCCAGCUCUGUGGCUCAUGCCUAUAAUC
rfam:Nomascus leucogenys chromosome 7b, whole genome shotgun sequence.